CUGAAUUUUUAGACGACGGCGUUUUGUGUAAUUAAAAGAAGAUAAGUGUUCCUUCUCUUUCUGGAAUAUUCAUUUCGUCUCUAGUUUUCUCUUUGUUUUUAGAUCUAAUUUUCAUUUUCAACAAAUCUUCAAAAUUUGGUUAUGGAGUGAUGUUUAGCAAAAUUUGAGAGUUAGCAACGGUGGCAACUUCCACUUCGAUGUGUGAGCAUCAAUUUUUAUGCUUUGCAGCCUAUCUGGAGGAUUCUGCAAGCGUGCAAGCCAGGCUGUAAGAAAAUGAAAACAGUAAGAACUAGAUAACAUAAUUCUUCUUCUUAAAUCUUUUAUAUGACUUAAAUCUAUACUGUUUCAUUAUCACCACAAAAAACAAAAGCAAAGAAAUUCAAAAGCAAUUAAUUUUAUAUAAUUCAAGUAUUUCCAUACCAUAUAUUGCUUUCUAUUCUUUAUUUGUGUCAUUUGAUUUUUGAUAAUUUUAAAAUUCGCCAAAAGGGAUUGUUAUUAGGUUUCACAACCUUAUGUUAAUCAUAUUAUCCUUGUAGUGUACGCCAUAAAAAGGAGUUGAAGUGAGUUUUUUCUUGUUGAGAUGAGCCAAUUACUGGUAGAUUUAUACGUGUCGUUGUGUAUGUAUUUUCACUGUUUGUAUAAUAUAUCUCUAAAAACAUAGGAUUUGACUUUUGAAAAUAGAGAGGAUUCUCCAUCUGUCUCAAAAAUUGGGCUGACAUAUUCAGCAAGCGAUUGUGUUCUUCCCAUCUGCAAUAACUGCUCGAUUCUACAAACAAGGAUCUGUUUAAUUCCGAAGGAAAAUUUAGAGAUUAAGAAAGGCAACUGCAGAUAAUUAUGGGGGACAUAUGGCUUUUUAGUGACAAUCCCCUGCUGUUCAUCUAGCAAAAGGAAGGAAUGGCCACACAAAUGGAUAUUCUGAGAUCGAAAGCAAUCUCGACUCUUAAGAAAAAGGGUGGGGAAAUUGGGAUAUAACAUUGAAACGUUAAGAAGGGAAGCGAGUGGGUUAAAGGAAGUAAUAAUCCGAAAACUCGAAACUUUUGGGCCGUCUUAUCUUCUAUAAAUUCAAAAUAAUAGAAAUUUCAAACAUCUGUUUUUUACGUGUGAUAAAGAUUAAUAUUAUGGUAUCUUGUUAAUAUAUAACUAAGAAAAACAUUUUGAAAACAAAAUCAAAGAUAGUUAUUUUUAAAAGUGAAAAUUUGUGUCUUUGUAUUAAUUUCCAUGUUAUUAUACUUAUUCAAGACAUCUUUCGGUAAGCUUCCAAGAUUGAGCUUCUUUGUUCAUCUUUUGGAAUUAAUUGAUGACUGUAGGUGUUUGGUCAAGAAUGCUUGUUUGGUUUUACCGUUCUUGAUUAAUCUUCAGCUUCAAUUGAUUUUCUUGAUUUUGGUUUUUUUUUUUUUUCCCCUCAGCAAAAAGAAAGAACAUUUUUGUUUGUUCUGAUUAUAUGUCAUAAUUUAUUGUAUCUAUUUAAUGAGCUAAACCAUGUGGUAUUUCCUAAUUGUUUCUAUGCACAACUGAAAAACAAUGCAAUUUCGUUCUUCACAUGUCCUAUUACUAAAUAGUAUUUGAUCCAUUUCACUUCGCUUGCACUUUAGCGACAUGAGUUUUUGUUGACUUCCUCGAAGUGAGAUGCGUUUGAUGUUACAGGUGCCUUCCAGAAUUUCAGGGACUACCUCAAAUUUUGUGAUUAAUAAAAUCGAGAUUUAAUUUAAACAACCUAAUUUCCUG
rnacentral:lncRNA from 1 species